GCCGGCUUAGCUCAGUUGGUAGAGCAUCUGAUUUGUAAUCAGAGGGUCGCGUGUUCAAGUCCCUUAACCCGCA
rnacentral:tRNA from 1 species